CUCCUCUCUUUCUCCGGUAGAUCUAGCCGGUGGCAUGCUACAAGCUGUUUAUUCUACUAUGUUUCCAGGGAGAAGAAUGCUAGAUUUUCCAGCCAGUUUUCUUUCCUAAUCGUGGGUGGUGACGCCCUAGUAUAGUCUUCAUCGUCUCCGGCCUCGAGCAGCGCUGGGAACGAACUCAGAGAGCAGUUCUUUGUCCCGCUCGAGUUUUUCAAUGCUAGAUUUUUCAUCCAGUUUUCUUUCCUAAUCGUGGGUGGAGUAUAGUCUUCAUAGUCUCCAGCAGCGCUGAAAACAAACUUGGCGAGCAGUUCUUUGUCCCACUCGCAUGUAUUAGGCAAACUACUUCUCUUUGUA